GUCGGCAGGGGUGCUGCAAGGCUGAGACGACCGCGCCGGGCGCGCGGCGAACCCUUACACCUGAACCGGAUAAUACCGGCGGAGGGAGCCU
rnacentral:ncRNA from 1 species